rnacentral:lncRNA from 1 species
GAAGUAGGAAGAAUCUAGAGAGAAUUAGACGCAAGGGGAAGGAAGAGAGCGGCAGGAGGUAACUCCAAACAACCACCAGCCACGUGAGUUUUCCGUUAGAGUGACCAAUGCCCACUCUAUUCGAUGUUGCCUGGGGACCCAGGGAGGAUUUAGGAGUACCCAGUCAUUGAGAGAGAGAGACUGUGCCUGUGUGUCUUUGUGUCUUUGUGCCUGUGUCUGUGUGCGUUUAUCUGUGGAUCUAAGGGAAUUUGGGUUAGCAUGGCCCAUUCCCAGAGCUUAAAGCAAAAAGUGCAUACAACAAAAUAGUACUAAGAACUCAGGCCUUUUGGAUAUGACACUUGGUCUUCCUUUGGCAACAUGAGUUCAAAAAGAAGAUCAAAACAUAAAGAAUGUGUUUCACAGAACAAAAUGUAGAUGUAGACGAGGCUGAACAGUGAUGUCAGAGAAAACUGGUGUUCAACAGUGUUUGGAAUGUUCAACACUGUUUGGAUGGACCAUCCUGACAGUGGAAACAGUUCACUUCAAUUUUGAAAGAUAGAUGACAAGGUGCUUGAUCCAGACUUCUCAGUUGACUUGUUAUGGUGGCAGGCCCUCUCCAUUAUCUAAAGAGAGAAACCUUACUGGAAGAGAAAUGAAAAAUUUACAUCAUGCAAGAUUACAAAAAGAAAGAAAGAAAGAAAGAAAGAAAGAAAGAAAGAAAGAAAGAAAGAAAGAAAGAAAGAAAGAAAGAAAGAAAAAGAGAAAGAAAUCUGGAUAAAAGACAUAGAAGGAGAAACUCACCAAGGAACUUCUGGUACAAGCUUCAUGGGUUCUUCUGGAUCAAGCUGAUUCAUAUUUUUGUGGUUUGCUAGUGAUCUGGACUGUAGACAACAGAGAUUGGAAUUCCCCCAAGUCUAAACAGAUCUAUGUCCCCUUUGUCCUAUUAGCCAUCUUCCUCUCCUACUUGGAUGGAAGUUGAAGCACUUCAGAACCCUUAUUAGUGUAGGUUUUAAGAAGUAUAAACCUACAAUAUUGUGUUUGUAAGGACUGUUCAAAAAAGCCAGUUCUUCAGCAAAGAAAACUUAAAGGCAAUACCAACCCAGGGAUUAAUUGGAAAGGAGGCAGAGUUGUGGACAAGGAUAAAGUUGGGCCCAGAACAACUGUAAGGAUUUUUACUUUUACCUCAAUAGUAGCAAGCAACCACUGAUAUUCUCAAAUACUACAAGAUGUGAUGCACUUAGUUCAUGUGUGUAUGUGUGCGUGUGUAUGUAUGUAUGUGUAUGUGAAAGAGAGAGAGAGAGAGAGAGAGAGAACUUGAUUCUUCACCUUGCCAUCAAGAUCUGUUUCAAGACGAUCCUUUCUGAGGAGUACUGUGAUGGAAAUGCUGAACAACUUGAAGAAUAAAGAGGCAAUGUGCAGGAUGUGCUGCUCUCGGGAUGAAAAGACAGAUAAAUGCCAGUGCUGUCAUUCAGAAGGAACUUGUCUGGAAUGCAGGAUACACGCUGAUUCAUAAUCUCCCAGUGUUCAGCUCCCACGGGCAUUCUCACAUGACUAUGCACUCAAGAUCACAGGAAUUACUUUGCUAAAGGUAUGAGAAGUGGAAGAUGUUUGAGAAGCUCUGAUCUAUAAGAAGGGUACUUAUGAGCUCAUGGGGUGAGACUUCAACAAAAGCAAAACAACAUCAACAAUAAAACACCGUGAAAACCUAUUAAAGGCAUUGUGCACCCGGUGAACAUUCUACAGAAUGCCUGCCCUGGAGUCUGCUGUUACACGUGCCGUUGCAUGGUUACAGGAGAAUGCUUAAAGUAAGAAAUUGAAUUAAAGCUUCAUGCUGUUUAGAUAUUGCUAAAACUAUAUAGAGUAUAUAUCUUCACGGAAUCUUUGAUGCUGCAAAAUGGCUAUUUGAUUUUCUUUAAGAAGAUGAAAAAGAUUGUGGGGAAUACUGAGACAAUAGGAAGGUAAGUUGCUAUCUUUGUGUAAUUGCUAAUCUUUUUGGAAUAAGAAAUGUUGCAUAU